AAACUUAAAUAUCAACCUCACAUUCACAACAUUUGAAGCAGCAGCAAACGAAGACACUGCAGCAGCAACAAAUAUUAAAGUAAAUAGCUGCAUCUAGCCAGCAACAUCUUGCCGCAAAUCACGUUUCGUGGGAAUUAUUUCCUUAGUGUACUCAAUACUGCCAGAACUGCCACAAUAUUGCAGAAAUAGUUAGAGACACUCUCAGACACAAGCACACAGCAGCAGCAGCAGCUUAAAUUCCCCCCAUCCAUAGUGUUUUAGAAAAACCACAAUCGCUAUACAUACUAUACUGUGGAUUUUAUUUUUGCUGUUGGUCUUAAGAGAAAAAUCUUGGCUUAAACAGUUUUUGUUUGCAGCAGCAGCUAUAACAACAACAACAACUACUUACAUCUAAGUAAAGAAUUUAUACUCCGUCAUUAAAUGGUGAGUUUCGAAUCAUUACAUUUAACUUGCUUUAUAAUUUGUUGCUAUAAAUUUCAAAGUUUUUCUGAAAUUUGACCUUUUAUUUCUCCCAUUAAGUUGAGUGACUUUUGUUCUUUGUCUUGCCAGCUACUUCUUGCAGUUUCUUUUAACAUUCUAUUAGAUGCAUUUAUUUCUGCAAAUAUACAUUUGACAUUUUCAUAAUUAUUUUAAUUAUCAGUUAAAAGAAUCAAGUUUGUUCUUAGUUGGCAGUUGCCAGUUGUAUACUUGUUUUAUUCGUAUUAAAAUGUCUGUUUAAUUGUUGGUGCUUAAAUGUUUUAAA